rnacentral:misc_RNA from 1 species
GAAGGAUCAUUACUGAUUUGCUUAAUUGCACCACAUGUGUUUUUUAUUGAACAAAUUUCUUUGGUGGCGGGAGCAAUCCUACCGCCAGAGGUUAUAACUAAACCAAACUUUUUAUUUACAGUCAAACUUGAUUUAUUAUUACAAUAGUCAAAACUUUCAACAACGGAUCUCUUGGUUCUCGCAUCGAUGAAGAACGCAGCGAAAUGCGAUACGUAAUAUGAAUUGCAGAUAUUCGUGAAUCAUCGAAUCUUUGAACGCACAUUGCGCCCUUUGGUAUUCCAAAGGGCAUGCCUGUUUGAGCGUCAUUUCUCCCUCAAACCCCCGGGUUUGGUGUUGAGCAAUACGCUAGGUUUGUUUGAAAGAAUUUAACGUGGAAACUUAUUUUAAGCGACUUAGGUUUAUCCAAAAACGCUUAUUUUGCUAGUGGCCACCACAAUUUAUUUCAUAACUUUGACCUCAAAUCAGGUAGGACUACCCGCUGAACUUAAGCAUA